UACGUAGGUGGCGAGCGUUAUCCGGAAUGAUUGGGCGUAAAGGGUGCGCAGGCGGAGGUGCAAGUCAGUGGUCAAAUUGCGGGGCUCAACCCCGUACUGCCGUUGAAACUGCAUCCCUUGAGUGCGCGAGAAGUAUGCGGAAUGCGUGGUGUAGCGGUGAAAUGCAUAGAUAUCACGCAGAACCCCGAUUGCGAAGGCAGCAUGCCGGCUUCCGACUGACGCUGAAGCACGAAAGCGUGGGGAUCGAACAGG
rnacentral:rRNA from 1 species